rnacentral:rRNA from 1 species
ACCAGACUCCUACGGGAGGCAGCAGUGAGGAAUAUUGGUCAAUGGUCGGGAGACUGAACCAGCCAAGCCGCGUGAGGGAGGAAGGUACAGAGUAUCGUAAACCUCUUUUGUCAGGGGACAAAGACUGGGACGCGUCCCCGGAUGAGUGUACCUGAAGAAAAAGCAUCGGCUAACUCCGUGCCAGCAGCCGCGGUAAUACGGAGGAUGCGAGCGUUAUCCGGAUUUAUUGGGUUUAAAGGGUGCGUAGGCGGAAUAUCAAGUCAGCGGUAAAAAUUCGGGGCUCAACCCCGUCGUGCCGUUGAAACUGAUGUUCUUGAGUGGGCGAGAAGUAUGCGGAAUGCGUGGUGUAGCGGUGAAAUGCAUAGAUAUCACGCAGAACCCCGAUUGCGAAGGCAGCCUUCCGGCGCCCUACUGACGCUGAGGCACGAAAGUGCGGGGAUCGAACAGGAUUAGAUACCCCCGUAG